rfam:Simian immunodeficiency virus - SIVagmMAL genomic RNA, complete genome, strain: ZMB.
GCCCGAACGGUAAGAAAAAAUACCGAUUAAAACAUAUAAUAUGGGCAGGCAAAGAAAUGGAGCGCUUCGGCC